UACGUAGGGUGCAAGCGUUAAUCGGAAUUACUGGGCGUAAAGGGUGCGCAGGCGGUUUUGUAAGCCAGAUGUGAAAUCCCCGGGCUUAACCUGGGAAUGGCAUUUGGGACUGCAAGGCUUGAGUGCGGCAGAGGAGACUGGAAUUCCUGGUGUAGCAGUGAAAUGCGUAGAUAUCAGGAGGAAUACCGAUGGCGAAGGCAGGUCUCUGGGCUGACACUGACGCUCAUGCACGAAAGCGUGGGGAGCAAACAGG
rnacentral:rRNA from 1 species